CGGAUAGCUCCGCGUUGUCGUCCGACCCCCCGACCCGAUGGCAAUGCGGAGCUUCCCU
rnacentral:sRNA from 1 species